UUUUGUUUUCUGGUUAGGAUCCAAGUAUCAUUGGAGUUGUGUGUGUACGACGCUCGUAGCAAACAUGAUGAUUUGAAUUCUGAAUUCCGAGAAGUAUCUAAUCGAUCUAGCAAUGAAGUAGUAGGUUUAUAUUUUUUUGGAAACUUUCUCAUCGCCUAUCUACCAAGCCAAAAACGAGACCAAACAAAACGAGGCACAACAAUGAAGAAAAGCGCGAAAAGUACGAAGCAUAAUGAACUAAAACCAGAGAGGAAAACCGCGCACAACGUCUCAAGCAAGAUACAGAGCCGCGCACACACUCGGUACAACCUCAACGGGGAAAAGAUGCUCUCAGUGUUUGAGGUCUUGGGGUCUCGAGAACUCUCUGGCAUUGUCAAGUAUCUCGCACUUGCACUUUAAUCAUCG